AACCCUUGUCCUUAGUUACCAGCACGUUAUGGUGGGCACUCUAAGGAGACUGCCGGUGACAACCGGAGGAAGUGGGGAUGACGUCAAGUCAUCAUGGCCCUUACGGCCUGGGCUACACGCGUGCUACAAUGGUCGGUACAAAGGGUUGCCAAGCCGCGAGGUGGAGCUAAUCCCAUAAAACCGAUCGUAGUCCGGAUCGCAGUCUGCAACUCGACUGCGUGAAGUCGGAAUCGCUAGUAAUCGUGAAUCAGAAUGUCACGGUGAAUACGUUCCCGGGCCUU
rnacentral:rRNA from 1 species